rnacentral:tRNA from 1 species
GUGGGCGUAGCUCAGCUGGUUAGAGCGCUAGACUGUGACUCUGGAGGCCGCGGGUUCGAACCCCGUCGCCCACCCCA